rnacentral:rRNA from 1 species
AUUGAACGCUGGCGGCAUGCUUUACACAUGCAAGUCGAACGGUAACAGGCCGCAAGGUGCUGACGAGUGGCGAACGGGUGAGUAAUGCAUCGGAACGUGCCCAGUCGUGGGGGAUAACUACUCGAAAGAGUAGCUAAUACCGCAUACGAUCUAUGGAUGAAAGCGGGGGACCGUAAGGCCUCGCGCGAUUGGAGCGGCCGAUGUCCGAUUAGGUAGUUGGUGGGGUAAAGGCUCACCAAGCCAAGGAUCUGUAGCUGUUCUGAGAGGACGACCAGCCACACUGGAACUGAGACACGGCCCAGACUCCUACGGGAGGCAGCAGUGGGGAAUUUUGGACAAUGGGCGCAAGCCUGAUCCAGCAAUGCCGCGUGCAGGAAGAAGGCCUUCGGGUUGUAAACUGCUUUUGUACGGAACGAAACGGCUCUGGUUAAUACCCGGGGCUAAUGACGGUACCGUAAGAAUAAGCACCGGCUAACUACGUG